GGACCCGCACAAGUAGUGGAGCAUGUGGUUUAAUUCGAAGAUACGCGCAGAACCUUACCAACACUUGACAUGUUCGUCGCGACUCUAAGAGAUUAGAGUUUUCGGUUCGGCCGGACGAAACACAGGUGCUGCAUGGCUGUCGUCAGCUCGUGUCGUGAGAUGUUGGGUUAAGUCCCGCAACGAGCGCAACCCUCACUUUUAGUUGCCAUCAUUAAGUUGGGCACUCUGAAAGAACUGCCAGUGAUAAGCUGGAGGAAGGUGGGGAUGACGUCAAGUCCUCAUGGCCCUUACGUGUUGGGCUACACACGUGCUACAAUGGUAUCUACAACAGGAAGCAAGACUGCGGUGAAUAC
rnacentral:rRNA from 1 species